AUUGAACGCUGGCGGCAGGCCUAACACAUGCAAGUCGAACGAGUGGCGGACGGGGGAGUAAUGUCUGGGAAACUGCCUGAUGGAGGGGGAUAACUCCUGGAAACGGUAGCUAAUACCGCAUACCAUCAGAUGGGCCCAGAUGGGAUUAGCUUGUUGGUGGGGUAACGGCUCACCAAGGCGACGAUCCCUGGCUGGUCUGAGGGGAUGACCAGCCCCACUGGAACUGAGGCACGGUCCAGACUCCUACGGGAGGCAGCAGUGGGGAAUCUUGCACAAUGGGCGGAGGCCUGAUUCAGCCAUGCCGCGUGUAUGAAGAAGGCCUUCGGGUUUUAGAGUACUUUCAGCGGGGAGGCGUGACCCGCAGAAGAAGCACCGGCUAACUCCGUGCCAGCAGCCGCGGUAAUAC
rnacentral:rRNA from 1 species